UCUAGGGAUGUAGCUCAGUGGUAGAGUGCUUGCCUCACAGGUAAGAGGCUGUGGGUUCAAUCCCCAGUACUGGAA
rnacentral:tRNA from 1 species